rnacentral:rRNA from 1 species
UACGAAGGGGGCUAGCGUUGUUCGGAAUUACUGGGCGUAAAGCGUGCGCAGGCGGCCUUCCAAGCCAGGGGUGAAAGCCCAGAGCUCAACUCUGGAAUUGCCUUUGAGACUGUGAGGCUUGAGUACGGGAGAGGUGAGUGGAAUUCCCAGUGUAGAGGUGAAAUUCGUAGAUAUUGGGAAGAACACCGGUGGCGAAGGCGGCUCACUGGCCCGAAACUGACGCUCAUGCACGACAGCGUGGGGAUCAAACAGG